CUCUCUUUGACCGUCGUACGCUCUCUCUCUCUCUCUCUCUCCCUCUCUCUCCCUCUCUUUGUUUUAAAGUUUUAAGAUUAGUAGAGAGGGAGUCGCAUCAUCUCCUUUUCGCCGCUGUUGCAGGGAGACCCAGACUGAGUUGCUCUCUAUUUCUCUCUCACAACUUUUUCCCUCUUUUCUCUCUGCCAAAACUGCAAGACUUAUAAAGUCCAUCUCCAAGAAAAGAGAUGUAUGGGAGAGAGUUAUCUUUUAGUUUUACUUAUUAUUAAUAAUUAUUUUAUCGACUAUCUUUCUCUUCUCUUCCUCUUUCCUCAUUUCGAUAACUCCCCCUUAUUAACUCCUCUCUCUGUUCACAACCCCCCCUCUCCCCCCCUUUCCCACCACCGAUCCGACGCCCACGAUCUCCUCGUCCUCCCAUCGUACGGCUAGGGCUCGCCUGUCAGCUUCCCCUCUACUGAGCAAGUUGCAUUGCUUAAACAUUAAGCAAUGGAACCUAAUGGUCAUAGGAGGGCAAGGAGAAAGGAUUCUGCUGUUCAAGCAAAUGGUAACGGCAGCUUAUCAAGUGUUGGUGAUGAACACGAUCCAUGGACUGCAUGGGCAUACAAACCUCGUACCAUUUCAUUAUUACUUAUUGGUGCAUGUUUUCUUAUUUGGGCAAGUGGGGCUCUGGAUCCGGAAAGUAGGUCAUCUGGCAAUCUUGUUACUUCUGUGAAAAGGGGUGUAUGGGCGAUGAUUGCAGUUUUUCUUGCUUACUGCUUGCUGCAAGCCCCUUCAACGGUACUUAUUAGGCCACAUCCAGCAAUUUGGCGACUAGUUCAUGGGAUGGCGGUCAUUUACCUUGUUUGUCUCACAUUUUUGCUUUUCCAGAAACGUGAUGAUGCUCGGCAAUUCAUGAAGUUUCUCCAUCCUGAUCUUGGUGUUGAACUUCCUGAAAGAUCAUAUGGUGCUGAUUGCCGCAUUUAUGUGCCUGAAAAUCCAACCAGCAGGUUUAAGAAUGUUUAUGAAACCCUUUUUGAUGAAUUUGUUGUGGCUCAUAUAUUUGGAUGGUGGGGUAAGGCUAUAAUGAUUCGCAAUCAGCCCCUCCUAUGGGUGCUGUCAAUUGGAUUUGAGCUAAUGGAGCUUACUUUCCGCCAUAUGUUACCAAACUUCAAUGAGUGUUGGUGGGACAGUAUUAUCCUCGACAUUUUAGUCUGCAAUUGGUUUGGUAUUUGGGCUGGAAUGCAUACUGUUAGAUAUUUUGAUGGAAGAACAUACGAGUGGGUUGGUAUAAGCCGGCAGCCCAAUAUUAUUGGCAAAGUGAAACGAACAUUAGGACAAUUUACACCAGCACAGUGGGACAAAGAUGAGUGGCAUCCCUUGCUUGGUCCAUGGCGUUUCAUUCAAGUUCUCAGUCUUUGCAUUGUAUUCUUGACAGUGGAGCUUAAUACAUUCUUUCUUAAGUUUUGUCUUUGGAUUCCUCCUCGAAACCCUGUGAUUGUGUAUCGGUUGAUCUUGUGGUGGCUAAUUGCAAUACCAACAAUUCGUGAGUACAAUUCAUACUUACAGGACAGAAAACCAGUGAAAAAGGUGGGAGCGUUUUGUUGGCUUUCCCUUGCUAUUUGCAUUAUUGAACUACUCAUUUGCAUCAAGUUUGGACAUGGCCUAUUUCCCAAACCAAUGCCUCUAUGGUUGGUAAUUUUCUGGAUGUCUGCUGGGGUGGCCCUUUUAAUAUUUCUGAUUGUGUGGUCGUGGCAACUACAUCAAACUCUGGGGAGAAAGAGACGAUGAAUUUUCCUUUGUGGGACAUCUUCUUUGAUUGCUUGCUUCUCAAUAAACCAGGGUGAAAUCUCAGCCCUCACCUCUUCUGGCAUUUUUGAAAGGCGCCUGGUUUGCUGGUUCAUCAUCACCCAAGUCCAACUUCAUAUGAACGAAUAACCACUGUCUGGCUGUAUCCGACACCCCCUUCGACAAUCAGCCCCUGACGGUAUGGAUCAACAAACUGCUUCUUUGUUGGAAUAUUUUGGCGGAGCUGCUCUUUGGUUAUAUGGCCAUUUUCAGCUAUGGAAGAAACUGAAGUCAAUGCCGUUGCUGCUCCUACUGUUUGGCUCAGUAGAUCAACCUUAGCUGUGGGCAUAGUAGAAGUUCCAUGUACCUUGAUGUUAUUCAGUUUUUGUUUAUUUGGAUCAUGGGGAUGGUCCCUGUUAGAACAUCUGAUGGAACAAGAGGCAGGGCAACAAAGAGAAGCCAUUUUUUCCUUAUGAUGCAGCAAAUGGAGGGAGGUGUUGGAAAUUGAAUUUUUCUUUUUUCUGAUUGAGACAGAGGGAGGUAUUUAUAGUUUUCUUACGGCGGAGCCACCAAAAACAACUGGGUAGACGACAAAUGAGGAAACCUUGUUGGAGUUGAAUAUAUCGAAGAGGGUUAUUGUGCCUGUUGGUAGAAGGUAGCUUUGAGUUUGCAAAAUCAACUUCGAUGUCUUAGGAGCCAUCGACUAGUGAAGGUGACAAAAGGCUUUGUUUGGUUUUGGCAUUUUGGUUGUGUGAAAUACCGAGAAUGCAGAUGUUUGUAGGUCA